UGAGAAUGUGCCUUCGGGAACCGUGAGACAGGUGCUGCAUGGCUGUCGUCAGCUCGUGUUGUGAAAUGUUGGGUUAAGUCCCGCAACGAGCGCAACCCUUAUCCUUUGUUGCCAGCGGUCCGGCCGGGAACUCAAAGGAGACUGCCAGUGAUAAACUGGAGGAAGGUGGGGAUGACGUCAAGUCAUCAUGGCCCUUACGACCAGGGCUACACACGUGCUACAAUGGCGCAUACAAAGAGAAGCGACCUCGCGAGAGCAAGCGGACCUCAUAAAGUGCGUCGUAGUCCGGAUUGGAGUCUGCAACUCGACUCCAUGAAGUCGGAAUCGCUAGUAAUCGUGGAUCAGAAUGCCACGGUGAAUACGUUCCCGGGCCUUGUACACACCGCCCGUCACACCAUGGGAGUGGGUUGCAAAAGAAGUAGGUAGCUUAACCUUCG
rnacentral:rRNA from 1 species